GCCGGGAUAGCUCAGUGGUAGAGCAGCUCACUCGUAAUGAGCAGGCCGUGAGUUCAAGUCUCAUUCCCGGCU
rnacentral:tRNA from 1 species